rnacentral:rRNA from 1 species
GCGAAAGACUAAUCGAACCAUCUAGUAGCUGGUUCCCUCCGAAGUUUCCCUCAGGAUAGCUGGAGCUCGGGUGCGAGUUCUAUCGGGUAAAGCCAAUGAUUAGAGGCAUCGGGGGCGCAACGCCCUCGACCUAUUCUCAAACUUUAAAUAGGUAAGACGGUGCGGCUGCUCCAUUGAGCCGUGCCACGGAAUCGAGAGCUCCAAGUGGGCCAUUUUUGGUAAGCAGAACUGGCGAUGCG